rnacentral:hammerhead_ribozyme from 1 species
AUCCAGCUGACGAGUCCCAAAUAGGACGACGAAACGUGCGUCAUGGAU